rnacentral:rRNA from 1 species
CUACGGGCCGCUCCAGUGAGGAAUAUUGCACAAUGGGGGGAACCCUGAUGCAGCAACGCCGCGUGGAGGAUGACGCAUUUCGGUGUGUAAACUCCUUUUAUAUGUCAAGAAAAUGACGGUAGCAUAUGAAUAAGCACCGGCUAACUCCGUGCCAGCAGCCGCGGUAAUACGGAGGGUGCAAGCGUUACUCGGAAUCACUGGGCGUAAAGGACGCGUAGGCGGGUUGGAAAGUCAGGUGUGAAAUCCUACAGCUUAACUGUAGAACUGAACUUGAAACUUCUAAUCUAGAGUAUGGGAGGGGGAGAUGGAAUUAGUGGUGUAGGGGUAAAAUCCGUAGAUAUCACUAGGAAUACCUAAAGCGAAGGCGAUCUCCUGGAACAUUACUGACGCUAAGGCGUGAAAGCGUGGGGAGCAAGCAGGAUUAGAUACCCUAGUAGUC